rnacentral:rRNA from 1 species
GAUGAACGCUAGCGGCAGGCUUAAUACAUGCAAGUCGAGGGGCAGCACGGGUAGCAAUACUUGGUGGCGACCGGCAAACGGGUGCGGAACACGUACGCAACCUUCCCAAAACUGGUGAAUAGCCCUCCGAAAGGAGGAUUAAUACACCGUAAGAUAAUUGGAUGGCAUCAUUUGAUUAUUAUAGCUCCGGCGGUUUUGGA